rnacentral:rRNA from 1 species
UACGAAGGGGACUAGCGUUGUUCGGAAUCACUGGGCGUAAAGCGCACGUAGGCGGAUGUGUCAGUCAGGGGUGAAAUCCCGGGGGCUCAACCUCGGAACUGCCUUUGAUACAGCACGUCUCGAGUCCGGAAGAGGUGGGUGGAAUUCCUAGUGUAGAGGUGAAAUUCGUAGAUAUUAGGAAGAACACCAGUGGCGAAGGCGGCUCACUGGCCCGAUACUGACGCUGAGGUGCGAAAGCGUGGG